rnacentral:rRNA from 1 species
UAGGGAAUCUUCCACAAUGGACGCAAGUCUGAUGGAGCAACGCCGCGUGAGUGAAGAAGGUUUUCGGAUCGUAAAGCUCUGUUGUUGGUGAAGAAGGAUAGAGGCAGUAACUGGCCUUUAUUUGACGGUAAUCAACCAGAAAGUCACGGCUAACUACGUGCCAGCAGCCGCGGUAAUACGUAGGUGGCAAGCGUUGUCCGGAUUUAUUGGGCGUAAAGCGAGCGCAGGCGGAAGAAUAAGUCUGAUGUGAAAGCCCUCGGCUUAACCGAGGAAUUGCAUCGGAAACUGUUUUUCUUGAGUGCAGAAGAGGAGAGUAGAACUCCAUGUGUAGCGGUGGAAUGCGUAGAUAUAUGGAAGAAUACCAGUGGCGAAGGCGGCUCUCUGGGUCUGCAACUGACGCU